rnacentral:rRNA from 1 species
CAAGACCUGCGCUUUUGGAGCGGCCGAUGCCUGAUUAGCUUGUUGGUAAGGUAAAAGCUUACCAAGGCUUCGAUCAGUAGCUGGUCUGAGAGGACGACCAGCCACACUGGGACUGAGACACGGCCCAGACUCCUACGGGAGGCAGCAGUGGGGAAUUUUGGACAAUGGGGGCAACCCUGAUCCAGCCAUGCCGCGUGAGUGAAGAAGGCCUUCGGGUUGUAAAGCUCUUUCAGCCGGAACGAAACGGUUACGGAUAACACCCGUGACUACUGACGGUACCGGAAGAAGAAGCACCGGCUAACUACGUGCCAGUAGCCGCGGUAAUACGUAGGGUGCGAGCGUUAAUCGGAAUUACUGGGCGUAAAGCGUGCGCAGGUGGUUUUGUAAGUCAGAUGUGAAAGCCCCGGGCUCAACCUGGGAACU